rnacentral:rRNA from 1 species
GAUGAACGCUGGCGGCGUGCCUAAUACAUGCAAGUCGAGCGAAUGGAUUAAGAGCUUGCUCUUAUGAAGUUAGCGGCGGACGGGUGAGUAACACGUGGGUAACCUGCCCAUAAGACUGGGAUAACUCCGGGAAACCGGGGCUAAUACCGGAUAACAUUUUGAACCGCAUGGUUCGAAAUUGAAAGGCGGCUUCGGCUGUCACUUAUGGAUGGACCCGCGUCGCAUUAGCUAGUUGGUGAGGUAACGGCUCACCAAGGCAACGAUGCGUAGCCGAACUGAGAGGGUGGUCGGCCACACUGGGACGGAGACACGGCCCAGACUCCUACGGGAGGCAGCAGUAGGGAAUCUUCCGCAAUGGACGAAAGUCUGACGGAGCAACGCCGCGUGAGUGAUGAAGGCUUUCGGGUCGUAAAACUCUGUUGUUAGGGAAGAACAAGUGCUAGUUGAAUAAGCUGACACCUUGACGGUACCUAACCAGAAAGCCACGGCUAACUACGUGCCAGCCGCCGCGGUAA